rnacentral:rRNA from 1 species
ACAGAGGGUGCAAGCGUUAAUCGGAAUUACUGGGCGUAAAGCGUAUGUAGGUGGUUUUUUAAGUCAGGUGUGAAAUCCCUGGGCUCAACCUAGGAAUUGCAUUUGAUACUGGAAAGCUUGAGUGUGGUAGAGGGUAGUGGAACUCCCGGUGUAGCGGCGAAAUGCGUAGAUAUCGGGAAGAACACCAGUGGCGAAGGCGGCUACCUGGACUAACACUGACACUGAGAUACGAAAGCGUGGGGAGCAAACAGGA